CGAGCCAGCCAGGUGGCCGCGGCGGGGUGUUCUGCACACCGUCGAGGAACGUCCGGACUCCACAGGGCAGGGUGGUUGUUAACGGCAACCCGGGGCGACCCGCGGGAAAGUGCCACAGAGAACAGACCGCCCGCACUGGUUGCGGGUAAGGGUGAAACGGUGGUGUAAGAGACCACCAGCGCCCCCGGUGACGGGGGCGGCUCGGUAAACCCCACCUGGAGCAAGGUCAAGAGGAGCCCUCGGGCUCUGCGCGGACGUGUGAGGGCUGCCCGCCCGAGUCCGCGGGUAGACCGCUGGAGCGGACCGGCGACGGUUCGCCUAGAUGGAUGGCCACCGGCCGGGACAACGCGGUGACGCGUCCCGGUCACAGAAUCCGGCGUACCGGCCGGCUCGUCCG
rnacentral:RNase_P_RNA from 1 species